UUUGGUGGUCAUAGCGAGAGCAAAACACCCGGCUCCAUUCCGAACCCGGCCGUUAAGUGCCUCCGCGCCAAUGGUACUGCGUCUCAAGACGUGGGAGAGUAGGUCGCCGCCAAAC
rnacentral:rRNA from 3 species